AGCGAACGCUGGCGGCAGGCCUAACACAUGCAAGUCGAACGAAGUGGCGGACGGGUGAGUAACACGUGGGAACGUGCCUUUAGGUUCGGAAUAACUCAGGGAAACUUGUGCUAAUACCGAAUGCGUUUAGAGCGGCCGGCGUCUGAUAAGCUAGUUGGUGAGGUAAAGGCUCACCAAGGAGACGAUCAGUAGCUGGUCUGAGAGGAUGAUCAGCCACAUUGGGACUGAGACACGGCCAAAACUCUUACGGGAGGCAGCAGUGGCGAAUCUAGCGCAAUGGGCGAAAGCAUGACGCAGCCAUGCCGCGUGAAUGAUGAAGGUCGUAGGAUUGUAAAAUUCUUUCACCGGGGACGCGGUACCCGGAGAAGAAGCCCCGGCUAACUUCGUGCCAGCCGCCGCGGUAAUAC
rnacentral:rRNA from 1 species